rnacentral:tRNA from 1 species
AAUAGCUCAGUUGGUAGAGCGCCGGUCUCAUAACCAUAAAGUCGCAGGUUCA